rnacentral:rRNA from 1 species
AGAGUUUGAUCCUGGCUCAGGAUGAACGCCGGCGGUGUGCCUAAUACAUGCAAGUCGAACGCGUUGGCCCAAUUGAUUGAUGGUGCUUGCACCUGAUUGAUUUUGGUUGCCAACGAGUGGCGGACGGGUGAGUAACACGUAGGUAACCUGCCCAGAAGCGGGGGACAACAUUUGGAAACAGAUGCUAAUACCGCAUAACAGCGUUGUUCGCAUGAACAACGCUUAAAAGAUGGCUUCUCGCUAUCACUUCUGGAUGGACCUGCGGUGCAUUAGCUUGUUGGUGGGGUAACGGCCUACCAAGGCGAUGAUGCAUAGCCGAGUUGAGAGACUGAUCGGCCACAAUGGGACUGAGACACGGCCCAUACUCCUACGGGAGGCAGCAGUAGGGAAUCUUCCACAAUGGGCGCAAGCCUGAUGGAGCAACACCGCGUGAGUGAAGAAGGGUUUCGGCUCGUAAAGCUCUGUUGUUAAAGAAGAACACGUAUGAGAGUAACUGUUCAUACGUUGACGGUAUUUAACCAGAAAGUCACGGCUAACUACGUGCCAGCAGCCGCGGUAAUACGUAGGUGGCAAGCGUUAUCCGGAUUUAUUGGGCGUAAAGAGAGUGCAGGCGGUUUUCUAAGUCUGAUGUGAAAGCCUUCGGCUUAACCGGAGAAGUGCAUCGGAAACUGGAUAACUUGAGUGCAGAAGAGGGUAGUGGAACUCCAUGUGUAGCGGUGGAAUGCGUAGAUAUAUGGAAGAACACCAGUGGCGAAGGCGGCUACCUGGUCUGCAACUGACGCUGAGACUCGAAAGCAUGGGUAGCGAACAGGAUUAGAUACCCUGGUAGUCCAUGCCGUAAACGAUGAGUGCUAGGUGUUGGAGGGUUUCCGCCCUUCAGUGCCGGAGCUAACGCAUUAAGCACUCCGCCUGGGGAGUACGACCGCAAGGUUGAAACUCAAAGGAAUUGACGGGGGCCCGCACAAGCGGUGGAGCAUGUGGUUUAAUUCGAAGCAACGCGAAGAACCUUA